rnacentral:lncRNA from 1 species
GAAUCUCUAAUAAAACAGUCUAUAAAACUUUUUUUUCCUUAUUGUUAUCAUAGUAUCUAAGCAGAGAAAUGUUCUUAGAAUUGUUUUUGGAAACGCUGCUUCCUGUAAUACUUUUGGCAGUUGAUCUUCAGCCCUCCUCUGGUACUAUUGGAAUUAUGAGCUUAGAUUGUUCUAGAUACAUCUUCAUCCUUUCCUAACACCCAAUUCUGGCAGGCAAAAAAUGCUUCCUCGUCUGUUUCUACCCCCUCACUUCACUGCGUUAACUCAGGUCAGGAUGCCCUCCUGGAGGACAUGAGCAGACUAAAUAACAAGGGGAGGGGAUGGUACAGAUAGCCCUCAGCUACAGAGGUCAUCUUGCUAGUAAAGCAGGACUGGGAAACACAGAAGUAGCCAAAGGGUUUCCAGCUGUUUUGUUUCACAGCUAAAAUGUCACAGAAUGGUCCAGGUUAUAUUUGCUUCAACUUUGCCUCACCACUGCCAAGCAUUCCCAAGUCUGGAGUGCAGUGUCGUGGAACUCAGGCAAAGGCCCAUGGCUGUCCUUUCCCUCCUGCGUGAAGGUUCUCUGAGACACUGCAGCAAGCAGGUCAGUGAGGUGCUGGGGGGAGUUUUCAUCAAUUGCUAUUAUUUUCAUGCCAUUCAGGCAAAACAGUGAACAAUUUAAAAGUAAAAGUCCAGAAUUGCAGGCCCAUGAAAACAAGAAACCCGAGGAUGAUGAGUCGGCCAGGCUUGGAGUACCUUUAAUUCGCUAAGAAUUAGGUGGAACACCAGGAAGGGUAAGUGAUAUGGAGGUCGCAUUUGCUUUGGAAAAGAUCCUGUUACAUUCAAAGAAGGAAUAAACCUGUUGGGACCAAAUCAUGAGAUGUAGUAGGUGCUGCUUCAGUUUCUCUGAUAUUCCAAAAAAAAAAAAAAAAAGAAAAAGAAAAAGAAAAAGAAAAAAAAGAAAGAAGGUAACAUGCAGUUUUAUGACUCUCAACUGUCGCACACCGAAAACUCUGUUGAGCCUGGGAGCUCAGGCUUGAUGCUCUUGAGACACUGCUGCCUACUUGGAAAAAGGAAAGGAACAGGAUGUUAAAUGGAAGUGCUGGGAAGUGGCAUUGGCUGAGUUACGUUGUUAGACUGUGAGCAUGGACAAAACAUGUAAAAACGAGCCCCAUCCUUAUGUACAAGGACAAUGCACCCAUCAAGAAUGUGGGGGAGGCAUCAGUCGGCACCAACGGGUCAGUCAGCAGCUGUUUAUGUUUCUCAGCCUCGCACUGUGACACCUUGGGCUGGGGGACUCUGGGUUGCUUGGGGACUGUCCUUCUUGAGGUGUUUUGCAGCAUCCCAGGGCUCCACGGACUAGAUGCCAGUAGCAACUUCCACCUCCAGUUGGGAGAAUAAAAAAUGUCUCUAGAAAUGGCCGAAGGUUUUCCCAGGGAGCACAACGCCCCAGAACGCCCCCUGGUUGAGAAACCGGAGGCUGGUGCAGCCAGGAUGCUGGAGAGUGGUAACGCGGAGGCCUGCCCUCCAGGAACUGAGGCCGAGAUGAAGGGAGGCCAGAAUGCAGAGGGGCUCAGACAACCCAGGAGAGUGCCCCACAGCAGAACGGCACAGGCGGGAGUUGAGAUGAACUCCUGGGGGCUCAGUGCUGUGGCUUACGGUUCUUUUUCCCUGUUUUUUGGCAAAUGUCUAUCAAGUGCUACCCUGGGACAGAGGCUGUCUUAGAUUUUGGUAACACAUCAGAGAGCUGGACCGAAUCCCUGCCCUCGUGGAGCGCAUAUCCUUUUGGGGAGCGCUAUGGCAGGAGAGGGUUUGCGUGUGUCCCCAAAGGUUUCUGUGUAGGAAGCUUGGUCCCCGGGAGAUGAGAGGUGGAGGUGCCUUUAAGAGGCGGGGUCUAGUGGAAGGUGAGUACCUCAUUGGCGUGCUGCCCUGGGAACAGGCCACUAGAGUUCUCGGGAGACUUUGGUUAGCUCCCGCGAGAGUGAGUUGUUAUAAAAGGGGCAACCUUGGCCCCAGAAGCUCUUUGGCUUCCUGUCCGCCUCUUGAGCCUGCUCCUGGGUUGUUCUGGCGGGAAGGCUCCCUUGGUCUCUCAGUGCCUCCUUGACUUCUGGCAUAACAAGUCAGCCCCAUUUUUACUGUCCACAUCUAGAAUUAGCCAUUUCCUUAAGGAUGGAUGCCAUUAUUAUUAUUAUUAUUAUUAUUAUUCUAUAAUAUACACAAACUGGGAGAUGCACUAAUUUUAGGUGUACAGCUCAAUGAAUUGUACCAUAUGUGUACACUAUGAUGUAACCACUAGCAAGUUCCCCAGGGACCCUGUGCAUGUAUUUCCUCCUCUCCCUCCCUGUAUGCAGAGGUAAUUAUAUGUACAUUUCAGAUCCUUAUUGUCCUACUCAAC